rnacentral:rRNA from 1 species
GAUGAACGCUGGCGGUAUGCUUAACACAUGCAAGUCGAACGGACUCUUCGGAGUUAGUGGCGGACGGGUGAGUAACGCGUGAGAAUCUGGCUUUGGGUUCGGGACAACCACUGGAAACGGUGGCUAAUACCGGAUGUGCCGAGAGGUAAAAGAGAAAUUGCCUGAAGAUGAGCUCGCGUCUGAUUAGCUAGUUGGUGAGGUAAAGGCUCACCAGGGCAGCGAUCAGUAGCUGGUCUGAGAGGAUGACCAGCCACACUGGGACUGAGACACGGCCCAGACUCCUACGGGAGGCAGCAGGGGGGAAUUUUCCGCAAUGGGCGAAAGCCUGACGGAGCAAUACCGCGUGAGGGAAGAAGGCUCUUGGGUUGUAAACCUCUUUUCUUAGGGAAGAACAAAAUGACGGUACCUAAGGAAUCAGCAUCGGCUAACUCCGUG